GGAGAGAUGGCGGAGUGGCUUAACGCGCCGGUCUUGAAAACCGGAUCCCGCGCAAGCGGGACGGGGGUUCGAAUCCCUCUCUCUCCGCCA
rnacentral:tRNA from 2 species